rnacentral:rRNA from 1 species
ACGAACGCUGGCGGCGUGCUUAACACAUGCACGUCGAACGGAAAGGCCCUGCUUUUGUGGGGUGCUCGAGUGGCGAACGGGUGAGUAACACGUGAGUAACCUGCCCUUGACUUUGGGAUAACUUCAGGAAACUGGGGCUAAUACCGGAUAGGAGCUCCUGCUGCAUGGUGGGGGUUGGAAAGUUUCGGCGGUUGGGAAUGGACUCGCGGCUUAUCAGCUUGUUGGUGGGGUAGUGGCUUACCAAGGCUUUGACGGGUAGCCGGCCUGAGAGGGUGACCGGCCACAUUGGGACUGAGAUACGGCCCAGACUCCUACGGGAGGCAGCAGUGGGGAAUAUUGCACAAUGGGCGGAAGCCUGAUGCAGCAACGCCGCGUGCGGGAUGACGGCCUUCGGGUUGUAAACCGCUUUCGCCUGUGACGAAGCGUGAGUGACGGUAAUGGGUAAAGAAGCACCGGCUAACUACGUG